UACGUAGGGUGCAAGCGUUGUCCGGAAUUAUUGGGCGUAAAGAGCUCGUAGGCGGUCCGUUGCGUCUGCCGUGAAAACCCGAGGCUUAACCUCGGGCCUGCGGUGGAUACGGGCGGACUAGAGGUAGGUAGGGGAGAGUGGAAUUCCCGGUGUAGCGGUGAAAUGCGCAGAUAUCGGGAGGAACACCGGUGGCGAAGGCGGUUCUCUGGGCCGUACCUGACGCUGAGGAGCGAAAGCUAGGGGAGCAAACGGG
rnacentral:rRNA from 1 species